CAAAAGAAGCAGAGGGGGCUUAGUGGUGGGGUGACUGCGUACCUUUUGUAUAAUGGGUCAGCGACUUAUAUUCUGUAGCAAGGUUAACCGAAUAGGGGAGCCGGAGGGAAACCGAGUCUUAACCGGGCGUUAAGUUGCAGGGUAUAGACCCGAAACCCGGUGAUCUAGCCAUGGGCAGGUUGAAGGUUGGGUAACACUAACUGGAGGACCGAACCGACUAAUGUUGAAAAAUUAGCGGAUGACCUGUGGCUGGGGGUGAAAGGCCAAUCAAACCGGGAGAUAGCUGGUUCUCCCCGAAAGCUAUUUAGGUAGCGCCUCGUGAAUUCAUCUCCGGGGGUAGAGCACUGUUUCGGCUAGGGGGGCAUCCCGACUUACCAACCCGAUGCAAACUGCGAAUACCGGAGAAUGUUAUCACGGGAGACACACGGCGGGUGCUAACGUCCGUCGUGAAGAGGGAAACAACCCAGACCGCCAGCUAAGGUCCCAAAGUCAUGGUUAAGUGGGAAACGAUGUGGGAAGGCCCAGACAGCCAGGAUGUUGGCUUAGAAGCAGCCAUCAUUUAAAGAAAGCGUAAUAGCUCACUGGUCGAGUCGGCCUGCGCGGAAGAUGUAACGGGGCUAAACCAUGCACCGAAGCUGCGGCAGCGACACUAUGUGUUGUUGGGUAGGGGAGCGUUCUGUAAGCCUGCGAAGGUGUCUCGUGAGGGAUGCUGGAGGUAUCAGAAGUGCGAAUGCUGACAUAAGUAACGAUAAUGCGGGUGAAAAACCCGCACGCCGGAAGACCAAGGGUUCCUGUCCAACGUUAAUCGGGGCAGGGUGAGUCGACCCCUAAGGCGAGGCCGAAAGGCGUAGUCGAUGGGAAACAGGUUAAUAUUCCUGUACUUGGUGUUACUGCGAAGGGGGGACGGAGAAGGCUAUGUUAGCCGGGCGACGGUUGUCCCGGUUUAAGCAUGUAGGCGGAGGUUCCAGGUAAAUCCGGUACCUUAUUAACGCUGAGGUGUGAUGACGAGGCACUACGGUGCUGAAGUAACAAAUGCCCUGCUUCCAGGAAAAGCCUCUAAGCAUCAGGUAACAUCAAAUCGUACCCCAAACCGACACAGGUGGUCAGGUAGAGAAUACCAAGGCGCUUGAGAGAACUCGGGUGAAGGAACUAGGCAAAAUGGUGCCGUAACUUCGGGAGAAGGCACGCUGAUAUGUAGGUGAAGUGGUUUACCCAUGGAGCUGAAAUCAGUCGAAGAUACCAGCUGGCUGCAACUGUUUAUUAAAAACACAGCACUGUGCAAACACGAAAGUGGACGUAUACGGUGUGACGCCUGCCCGGUGCCGGAAGGUUAAUUGAUGGGGUUAUCCGUAAGGAGAAGCUCUUGAUCGAAGCCCCGGUAAACGGCGGCCGUAACUAUAACGGUCCUAAGGUAGCGAAAUUCCUUGUCGGGUAAGUUCCGACCUGCACGAAUGGCGUAAUGAUGGCCAGGCUGUCUCCACCCGAGACUCAGUGAAAUUGAACUCGCUGUGAAGAUGCAGUGUACCCGCGGCAAGACGGAAAGACCCCGUGAACCUUUACUAUAGCUUGACACUGAACACUGGUCCUUGAUGUGCAGGAUAGGUGGGAGGCUUUGAAGCGCGGACGCCAGUUCGUGUGGAGCCAUCCUUGAAAUACCACCCUUUAAUGGCUGGUGUUCUAACGUAGACCCGUGAUCCGGGUUGCGGACAGUGUCUGGUGGGUAGUUUGACUGGGGCGGUCUCCUCCUAAAGAGUAACGGAGGAGCACGAAGGUUAGCUAAUCCUGGUCGGACAUCAGGAGGUUAGUGCAAAGGCAUAAGCUAGCUUGACUGCGAGCGUGACGGCGCGAGCAGGUGCGAAAGCAGGUC
rnacentral:rRNA from 1 species